ACCUCUGGUCACAGGCGGCCCAAUCUUACCCUGUGUUAUUAAUUUAUUACGUUAUAUCUUUAUAUAAAUAGUAUAUUGAAAAUCAAUGAUUUUCAAUAUACUAUUUAUAUAAAGAUAUAACAUAAUAAAUUAAUAACACAGGGUAAGAUUGGGCCACCUGUGCUCUGGU
rnacentral:miRNA from 1 species